rnacentral:misc_RNA from 1 species
AAGUCGUAACAAGGUUUCCGUAGGUGAACCUGCGGAAGGAUCAUUAACACGUUAUCCACGUAUCUACCUCUUGCGAACUUUUUACUGUUCAGAAGUCGGCAGACCAGCGUAGAUGAUGGAGGUAGAUGUUACUAUGUCCAGUGGCCGACGCCCUGGUUCUACCUGCCUAGCCAAUGUCCCCCCGCAUCGUCGAGUAUCUUUUUUUUAAAUGUGGUGUAAAAAAAGAGAAAGAGUGCGUCGUGGCUUGGGUAUUCUGGUUCAUAUGACUCGAAUCAUAGUAGUUUAUAAUCUUAUUCACCCUUUUUUACUAAAUUUGUUGAAUUGUGAUGGUCUCGGAGGUAACACUUCGUAGCACUCACGUAAAUAAAACACUAUACAACUCUUAGCAACGGAUAUCUCGGUUCUCC